rnacentral:lncRNA from 1 species
CCAGAGUUUCCCUUGGGAUUCCAGGGCCAACCUUGGUGGCCAGGGCUCCUACUUUCUGGACUUGGCUCCUCCCCCAUCCUAGAGAGGGGCUCUCCCCAGGAGGGUUUGUCACCCUCUGGUGUGGCAUGCCCCUUGGGCAGAGCUGUGCACCACAAGCUCCCAGACACGGUCAGUGUGUGCACGGUGUCUUUGCCCUGCUUCCCACCCCUGGCCCCUGGGGAAGCCUGGCCGGUCCAGCACAGCAGGCUCCUCCCAGGACCCCGCCCAGCUCUGAGCCCUCUGCUUUCCUCCCUCAGCGAAGGGGACUGCUACCCAGACACCUGCAGAGUGCCCAGAGUGCCCAGGUAUGGAGACCACAUCUUUGGGCUGCUUCUGUGCAUAUUGCCAAGCAAGUCUGACUUACCAGAUGCUCAGUUUAUGAUGAAGGACACAGCUCGGGAACAGUCAGAGGAAGAGCUAAAUAGCGCCAGGUGUGGGCAGGGGC